GAGGCUUUAGUUUAAUUAAAAUAUCUGGGUUGCAUUCAGAUGAUGUAAGAAGAGUCUUAUAAGUCUUA
rnacentral:tRNA from 2 species